rnacentral:rRNA from 1 species
UACGUAGGUGGCAAGCGUUGUCCGGAUUUAUUGGGCGUAAAGGGAGCGCAGGUGGUUUCUUAAGUCUGAUGUGAAAGCCCACGGCUUAACCGUGGAGGGUCAUUGGAAACUGGGGAACUUGAGUGCAGAAGAGGAAAGCGGAAUUCCAUGUGUAGCGGUGAAAUGCGUAGAUAUAUGGAGGAACACCAGUGGCGAAAGCGGCUUUCUGGUCUGUAAAUGACACUGAGGCUCGAAAGCGUGGGGAGCAAACAGG